rnacentral:lncRNA from 13 species
CACUGAUAGAGGGCCAUAGUAGGGUGUUCACAUAGCGGGCUAUAAUAAUAGAAUGACCGGUAAAUGUAUUUUGAACCAUAUUUUUAUUUUUGGGUUACCAGUUGCACAACAAUGCACGUGCAUUUGCAAUAUGAUUCAAUAGUGAAAAAAACAUCACCAAAUGGACAUUCUGAAAUCAACACAACGAGUGAUGGAAAGGAACAACUAUCACUGCCCAGCCAUCCCAAGUUCAUCGGGCCAGUCAAUUUCACAUUCCUGCAGGAUUUUUAUAGCAUGACAAAUUCGUGAUGGUACCUGCCCUUUGAACCAUAUUGCAAAUGCACAGUGACUUUGCAAAAGUAAGAAAACAUAAACAAAUGGACAUAAUGAAAUCAUGAAAACAAUGCGUAUCCAUCAGAAUAUUUUAAACAGUCCAUAAAGCACUCAGGACGGCCCCCAUGGAUAGAGGGCCGUAGUAGGGUACUCCCAUAGCGGGCAUGGACAAUAGGAGUCCCGGUAAAUGCAUUUACAACCAUAUUUUUUUUACCAGUUGCUCAACAAUGCACGUGCAUUUGCAAUAUGAUUCAAUAGUGAAAAAAACAUCACCAAAUGGACAUUCUGAAAUCAACACAAUGAUGGAAAGGAAGGUGCCCAGCCAUCCCGAGUUCAUCGGGCCAGUCAAUUUUGCAAUUCUGCAUGAUUUUUGAGCAUGCCAAAUUCGUGAUGGUAAAUGCCCAUUGAAACAUAUUGCAAAUGCACGUGCAUUUGCAAUAUGAUUCAAUAGUGAAAACAACAUCACCAAAUGGACAUGAUGAAAUCAACACAACGAGUGAUGGAAAUGAACAACUAUCACUGCCCGGCCAUCCCGAGUUCAUCAGUUCAGUCAAUUUUGGCCCCCCAAAAAGUGACUUUUGACUUCCUAUGAAAUCAUAUUGCAAAUGGACAAAUCAUAUUCCUUAUGCACAAGUAAAAAAAAAAAAAUUAUGAUAAUAAAAUUGGACAAAAGUAUAUUCAUACAGUUCUUACACAUGUGUAAUUGACAAAAAAAAUCGAAAGAAUUUCGAAAAACGGUCCAGAAAGCACUUUUUUAAGGGGUGAUACGUUUUUGACAAAAAAAUCAUUUUUUCAAAAUUUUCGCUUUUGGAUGUUGACUUGGGUUGCAUUUCCAAUAUGAAAAACCCCGGUGGAGCGCAUUCGCCACCUGUUGGAUUUUUGAAGUGUUACAACUGGCACAUGCCAUAUGGCAUUUGCAAUCAACUUUGCACGAAUCAACGCCACAUUGGGUGGUAUUGGACAUCGUGUAUAUGGUUUGUCCAAUGCCAAUGGUUUGCCAUUCAUUUUUGUCCAUUUCAGGGGGGUAUUCCCUUACAUCAUUUAAAAACGUAACUUCUUGUUAAUCUAACCAUGCGAUUAUCUGAGGACAGCUCCCCACAUCAAAAUACUUUUUCAAACCAGCACAGAAGUGUCACAAAAAUGACAAAUAGCAAUAAAAUAAAUCACUUACCUAUGAAGAUCUUCCUUUGUUUGCAAUCCCAAGGGUCCCAGCUACACAAUGAAUGGUCGUUUUGUUCCAUAAAGUCCUUCUUUAUAUAAAAAAAAAACAGUUUAAUAGGCGCCAUUGAUUUCAGUAAUCCACUUGUUCAACAUGCACACAAACGAAUCCAAAAAGUUACCUGUAAAGUUUGUCCAAAAAAGUCAAACGAUGUUUCUAAUUAAUCCUCAUGUAAUCUAAUAUCUAAAUAAACAAUACAAUUUAAGACGGAGAAUAGUUUGUUCAAUAGGGAAGAUAAGUAACGAAGAGUGAGCACCUCAUUCACAUGUGCAUCAAGACUUUUCUAAUGAGGGACACCUUGGAUAAACUACAACUACUUGUUCGUUUUUCAAGAAAUAAGCCUGAAACCCUGUCUAAAGACUGUUUACAUCUAGUGUAGGAACUGCAAUCUGGGUCCUAUUUGUUUGUAUAUCCCAUAGGCUAGCAUUGAAAUGGCCUGUGACCUCAAAAGAAGAAUCCAAAUCUUGGAUAAACUACAACUACUUGUUCGUUUUUCAAGAAAUAAGCCUGAAACCCUGUCUAAAGACUGUUUACAUCUAGUGUAGGAACUGCAAUCUGGGUCCUAUUUGUUUGUAUAUCCCAUAGGCUAGCAUUGAAAUGGCCUGUGACCUCAAAAGAAGAAUCCAAAUGGAUUUUCCUCCGGUUUUUGCCUGCCAUCAUUCCUGUUACACGCACAGACAAUAUAGACAAUAUAGACAAUUACAGACAAUUUAACGAUUUUAGAAACUUCAGAGUGUUUUCUAUCCAAUGCUACUGAUUAUAUUAUUAUUAUUAUUAUUAUCUUAGCUUCUGGGCCUGAGUAACAGACAGUUUACUUUAGGCACUUCAGUCAUCUGAACUUCCGAACACUGUCCCCUAGCCCUAAGAUGUUUUAACGAACUUAAAAAAGAGAACAUUUUUCUGAGAGAAACCUUACUUUACAUACAGGCUAGAUCUAUGAGAGAAUCUGGUACUUACUGCUAUCAAAGAAAAAUAAGGCAGAAGUCCUGAAAUUGUGGUGAAAUAAUUAUUUCUUACAGCGUUACAGAUCCCAGGUGAUGUGGUCAACAAAAUCCAACUUGAACGUCUACACCGUUUAGGAGAGAGAGGACAGAUGUGAGCGCACAAUUGUUGCCAAAUUUGCACUCUUUAAAGAUACAAAAAUGGUUAAAAGCCUGGGUAAAAAAAAUUGGAAUGAAUGAUCAGUUCCCAAAGAAAAUUGCAGAACGGCACAAAGUUCUGUACUCUUCAAGGAGAAAAGAUUCAAAGGGAAACGUGUAGCUCUCGUAGUCGAUAAACUGUAUAUUGAUAACCAAAUGUUCUAAGACACCAAGACCACUCCAUGGCUAUUCUAAACAUUGCAAAGUUCCCAUAGAGGAGUCGAAAAAUUGAAUACCCAAUACUAUCCAUGGUAGGAAUUGUAAUAAGAAAAUAUGUAGGAAAACAAAAAAAUACUCCAAUUGAUAAAGAAAUAAAC